rnacentral:lncRNA from 1 species
GGAAGUACUCUCUGGGGCACAUGGGACUAUCUUUUUUCUGUAGUCAUGUAAUUCAAAACCCUGGAAGGCUGCUGCAGUGCUUGCUCAACCUCAGUAUACCAUGAAUGCAGGAUGCUGCCAGUCAUAUAAAGGAUCCUCUGCUUCACAUUAUGAAAGAAAGACGUGAACUACAAAACUGAAUGCGACCUGGAAUUUCCAAACAGAUGAUCUUGUGACAGCCUUUUCAAGAGUCCAGUUAUUACGCAAAAGGACCAUCCAGAUAACUGGAAAAUCAAUACCAACCAAUCCUAAAGAGGAAAGUUUGUGCUUUCCUGUGUAUAUUCCUGCAACAAAGAAUUUGAGAGAGGAGAUAUAUCAGGAUAAAUAGGGAUUCCACAUACCCCAGCUGUGAAUCCUCAGAUCUGUAAAACACUGAUUCAGACUAUCCAAAAAUUUCAACUGUUCCAGCUGUCACAGAAAAGAACU